ACUAAGCGUACACGGUGGAUGCCCUGGCAGUCAGAGGCGAUGAAGGACGUGCUAAUCUGCGAUAAGCGUCGGUAAGGUGAUAUGAACCGUUAUAACCGGCGAUUUCCGAAUGGGGAAACCCAGUGUGWUUCGWCACACUAUCAUUAACUGAAUCCAUAGGUUAAUGAGGCGAACCGGGGGAACUGAAACAUCUAAGUACCCCGAGGAAAAGAAAUCAACCGAGAUUCCCCCAGUAGCGGCGAGCGAACGGGGAGCAGCCCAGAGCCUGAAUCAGUGUGUGUGUUAGUGGAAGCGUCUGGAAAGGCGCGCGAUACAGGGUGACAGCCCCGUACACAAAAAUGCACAURCUGUGAGCUCGAUGAGUAGGGCGGGACACGUGGUAUCCUGUCUGAAUAUGGGGGGACCAUCCUCCAAGGCUAAAUACUCCUGACUGACCGAUAGUGAACCAGUACCGUGAGGGAAAGGCGAAAAGAACCCCGGCGAGGGGAGUGAAAAAGAACCUGAAACCGUGUACGUACAAGCAGUGGGAGCACGCUUCGGCGUGUGACUGCGUACCUUUUGUAUAAUGGGUCAGCGACUUAUAUUCUGUAGCAAGGUUAACCGAAUAGGGGAGCCGAAGGGAAACCGAGUCUUAACUGGGCGUUAAGUUGCAGGGUAUAGACCCGAAACCCGGUGAUCUAGCCAUGGGCAGGUUGAAGGUUGGGUAACACUAACUGGAGGACCGAACCGACUAAUGUUGAAAAAUUAGCGGAUGACUUGUGGCUGGGGGUGAAAGGCCAAUCAAACCGGGAGAUAGCUGGUUCUCCCCGAAAGCUAUUUAGGUAGCGCCUCGUGAAUUCAUCUCCGGGGGUAGAGCACUGUUUCGGCAAGGGGGUCAUCCCGACUUACCAACCCGAUGCAAACUGCGAAUACCGGAGAAUGUUAUCACGGGAGACACACGGCGGGUGCUAACGUCCGUCGUGAAGAGGGAAACAACCCAGACCGCCAGCUAAGGUCCCAAAGUCAUGGUUAAGUGGGAAACGAUGUGGGAAGGCCCAGACAGCCAGGAUGUUGGCUUAGAAGCAGCCAUCAUUUAAAGAAAGCGUAAUAGCUCACUGGUCGAGUCGGCCUGCGCGGAAGAUGUAACGGGGCUAAACCAUGCACCGAAGCUGCGGCAGCGACACUAUGUGUUGUUGGGUAGGGGAGCGUUCUGUAAGCCUGUGAAGGUGUGCUGUGAGGUAUGCUGGAGGUAUCAGAAGUGCGAAUGCUGACAUAAGUAACGAUAAAGCGGGUGAAAAGCCCGCUCGCCGGAAGACCAAGGGUUCCUGUCCAACGUUAAUCGGGGCAGGGUGAGUCGACCCCUAAGGCGAGGCCGAAAGGCGUAGUCGAUGGGAAACAGGUUAAUAUUCCUGUACUUGGUGUUACUGCGAAGGGGGGACGGAGAAGGCUAUGUUGGCCGGGCGACGGUUGUCCCGGUUUAAGCGUGUAGGCUGGUUUUCCAGGCAAAUCCGGAAAAUCAAGGCUGAGGCGUGAUGACGAGGCACUACGGUGCUGAAGUAACAAAUGCCCUGCUUCCAGGAAAAGCCUCUAAGCAUCAGGUAACAUCAAAUCGUACCCCAAACCGACACAGGUGGUCAGGUAGAGAAUACCAAGGCGCUUGAGAGAACUCGGGUGAAGGAACUAGGCAAAAUGGUGCCGUAACUUCGGGAGAAGGCACGCUGAUAUGUAGGUGAAGCGACUUGCUCGUGGAGCUGAAAUCAGUCGAAGAUACCAGCUGGCUGCAACUGUUUAUUAAAAACACAGCACUGUGCAAACACGAAAGUGGACGUAUACGGUGUGACGCCUGCCCGGUGCCGGAAGGUUAAUUGAUGGGGUCAGCGCAAGCGAAGCUCUUGAUCGAAGCCCCGGUAAACGGCGGCCGUAACUAUAACGGUCCUAAGGUAGCGAAAUUCCUUGUCGGGUAAGUUCCGACCUGCACGAAUGGCGUAAUGAUGGCCAGGCUGUCUCCACCCGAGACUCAGUGAAAUUGAACUCGCUGUGAAGAUGCAGUGUACCCGCGGCAAGACGGAAAGACCCCGUGAACCUUUACUAUAGCUUGACACUGAACAUUGAGCCUUGAUGUGUAGGAUAGGUGGGAGGCUUUGAAGUGUGGACGCCAGUCUGCAUGGAGCCGACCUUGAAAUACCACCCUUUAAUGUUUGAUGUUCUAACGUUGACCCGUGAUCCGGGUUGCGGACAGUGUCUGGUGGGUAGUUUGACUGGGGCGGUCUCCUCCUAAAGAGUAACGGAGGAGCACGAAGGUUGGCUAAUCCUGGUCGGACAUCAGGAGGUUAGUGCAAUGGCAUAAGCCAGCUUGACUGCGAGCGUGACGGCGCGAGCAGGUGCGAAAGCAGGUCAUAGUGAUCCGGUGGUUCUGAAUGGAAGGGCCAUCGCUCAACGGAUAAAAGGUACUCCGGGGAUAACAGGCUGAUACCGCCCAAGAGUUCAUAUCGACGGCGGUGUUUGGCACCUCGAUGUCGGCUCAUCACAUCCUGGGGCUGAAGUAGGUCCCAAGGGUAUGGCUGUUCGCCAUUUAAAGUGGUACGCGAGCUGGGUUUAGAACGUCGUGAGACAGUUCGGUCCCUAUCUGCCGUGGGCGCUGGAGAACUGAGGGGGGCUGCUCCUAGUACGAGAGGACCGGAGUGGACGCAUCACUGGUGUUCGGGUUGUCAUGCCAAUGGCACUGCCCGGUAGCUAAAUGCGGAAGAGAUAAGUGCUGAAAGCAUCUAAGCACGAAACUUGCCCCGAGAUGAGUUCUCCCUGACCCUUUAAGGGUCCUGAAGGAACGUUGAAGACGACGACGUUGAUAGGCCGGGUGUGUAAGCGCAGCGAUGCGUUGAGCUAACCGGUACUAAUGAACCGUGAGGCUUAACC
rnacentral:rRNA from 1 species